CAAGUUGCAGAGAGGAGGAGGAAUUGGGAUAUUUUGUUCGGGGGCGAGAAUUCUGUGAUUCAACAAUUCUUUGGAGGUUAGUUUCGUCUUUUUGUGUGUCCUGCAGGAAGAAAAAUCUAUAUCUCUUCUUUGGUUUCACGAUUGGCUUAUUUUAUAUAUAUAGCCAAGCACCCAAGUCUUUUUUAUUUUCUGUGGUUACUAUCCUAUCUCAUUUUCUCUUUCAAUUUUUACUUUACUACUAAACUUGGGAUAUUAUUAUUGAAUCAUUUAGUUAGAUUUGUUCAACCCCUUUUAAUAUUUUUACUCUAAUAGAAAUUGGUGUAGCAAUACUUUACACUUUAACCCUUUAUUCGAGUUAUCUUUGUUUGGAUAAUUAUCAGUUAUAUAUAUACAUAUAUAUAAUUGUUUAUUUCAUUGAUCAAAUCUUGUUUUAUUAUUAUUUUAUUUAUUUAUUAUGCGUUCUAUCUACAGUCCCUAUGCUUCCUUUCUUUUGUUUGUAUAUUAGUUUUGUUCCACCUUUUAUUAGUUUUAAAAUUUGUUCAUUUCAAAAUUGUUAGUGGUGAAUUUUGGUUAGUAUUAGACAAUUUUGAGGUGGUAAAUUUUUAAUUUUUGUUGUUAAACCAGUUUUAAGGCGCAUGGUCCAAAAACUCAGUUUUUUUUACGUGGCGACAAACUCAUGGUUGGAGUUUCAAGAUAUUAUUUUUGUGGGGUUAAUGAGGAGAUUGAACAACAAAACACUCAAUGACGUGGCGAGAUCUCAGCCGGGUAAGAAGGAGAGCGAGAUUCUAGUUCGUCCUACGUGGACGAAUCAGGUUCUGGAAGAGCGUCUGAGCCACGUGAGCCCACCUGGGAUUUGUCUGGACCAUAUUACAAAAUGUCUUUUUAAAUCCUCUCUCCCACACCACACCAGACCCUAGUAUCUUCAAUUGUCUAAACCCACUUGGUUUUUGUUUUCUUACUUCUCCCAUACUUCUUCUUCUCUACUUCUCUUCACAAAGUCAUCUGUUUCUUUUUUUAAUUUUCACCCCUACAAUUUUUGUAGACAGGAUAAGAUAUAAUAUAAAACAAAAAAAAUUGGAUUUUUUAAAUACACAAAUAAUGCAUUGGAAUGGCCGUAUGGGAGAGAAACUUUCUAAUAUAGUACAUAUGGACUACAUACAUACAUAGGCAAGAGUAUUAUUAUUUUUUAUUUACUUGGACCAUAAUUGUUUAUUGUCUUUUUUUUUUUGAAAUAAUAUAUUGGCUAUUCAAUCGUUUAGUACUACGGUUGAUUAUUAUUUUUUGUGGCUCUCAGUGAACCCAUAUUGUAUUGAAGGGAAAAUCAUAUGCUCCAUUAAAUCAUGACCACAUAAAAGAUUGUGCUUAUGUGGCAUGCUUCAAUAUGGGGUAAUCUUACGUGGCGAACAUCGGUGAUCUCAAAGAAUCAAUAUGAAGAUGACAUGUCAUCAUGAGAGCCACGCAAACGCGCUCAAUGUUUUUUUUUUUUUGUUGUUGUUGUGGGCGAGUGGUGUGUGGUGUGGUUAUGGCUCUCAUUCAUUAUUGUAGCAUUUUUAUUUUGUGUUUCUUUUUACUUUGUGUGGAUAAGAAUUUUGGAAUAAGUCAGAACUUUCAAGAAAGAGGUUCAAUAUUCAUUGUUCAUAUUCACAAUACUAUUAGCUGGUUGAAUACAUCCCUUCUUUCUAGUCCUUAUCUUCUAAAAGCUAUGUGCCGUGUCUCAUGUAUGUAU
rnacentral:lncRNA from 1 species